rnacentral:snoRNA from 1 species
GGAGGAUAAGAUGAACAUUCGGUUGGCACCAGAUCUAAGGCGCCCUUGUGGCGGCGAUGGCGAUUCAACCUAGGCUGUAACUGAUCCUCU